CGCCGCCGCCGCCGCCGGCCCGCCGCGCAGCCCAGCCCAUGCAUCGCAUGCAGCCCAGCCCGGGCCCGCUUUCGGAGUGCGAGCGCCGGGAGACCCUGCACGCCCGGCCCUGCGGCCUUCUGGGGCGCCCGCUGCCUCUGGCUCCCGGUAGGGGCAGGUAGGACGUGGGGCCGAUGAUCCCAAAGCCCUCACGGUCGCCAGCGCGCCCCCCCUAGGCCCCAUAGUCCCCGUCUCUGCCCCCGGGUUCGGCUCUUCGUACCGCGAGCUCCUUGGGCAGCUGGUUGUGGACACCCGAACUCGGAACCCUCAUGAGGGGAUGGGAAGGGAAGGGUCUGGGGAGUCAUUCCGAACCCAGCCUCGGCAGGACUCUGGGAAGCUGGCGUUCUCCCCACCUCCACCCCCACCCCAGCCCUUCCCCGCUUCCCCAGCUCUUCCUGAGUCCUGAGUUUGGGCAUGACCGGAUGAAGGGGCCUGAGAUGGCAGACCUGGGGCAUGCCACUUGAAGGUCCCAUCUCCCAGCGGCAAGACAAACCUCGUGGCCUGUUAGAGGAGUCACGAUUUUAUUUGCUUAUGUUUGGACAGGUGGAUACAUAAGCAGAAGUAACCCAUCUUUUAAUUUCCCUCCCCCCCCCACACACACACACAUGCCAGGCACUUGGCCAGUGAUAUAAGAUUAUCUCUUCCUUAGGUAUAUUAUUUAAUCCACAUAAUCCUUUCUCAGACUGACGUUAUUAAUCCCAUUUUACUGAUAAGGAAACUGAGGUGUACAAAGUUUAAAUAAUUUGCCCUAAAUCCCACAACUAGCAGGCCUUGGAUCCUGGAAGAGACCUGGUGUUUUAGUGAGCCUGAAUCCAAGCUACUUGAAAUAUACCAGCUGAAGCCUCUCCCUCCCUGGGUUCCUGCCCUAAAAAAAGUCUGUGCUACUUGGCUGAGGUGGACACUGCUUGAGCUGAGAAAGAAAAGAGGGAAAAUGUGGCCAAGAGCUUCCCAGGCUGGGUUAUUCCAAGGUCGCCGAGCAGCCUCUGCCCAUCCCUUCCUGCUCCCUGUGAGAUAACCUGGCAGCAGAGUGCUAUCCUGUCACCUCCUUCACAAGUUCCCGGAUAAUGAUAAAAACAAAUGCCACGGAGUGCUUACCCGGAGCCAGGCACCAUUCUAAGCCAGUUCCAUGUAUUAACUCUUCUCACCACAAACCUCAUGAGAUAGGUACGGUACUGUUUUCCUUCAGGAGCUUGUAUUUAAUUUUAUUUUGAGGUAGGGUAUUGCUAAAUUGCCCAGGCCAGCCAGCUGGAAUUGCGAUUUGCCUCCCCAGUAGCUGCCCAAGUAGCUGGGAUUACAUGCAUGUAUCGGCUUCACAAUGUUUUUUUGUUUUAUUUUUGUGGUAAUGGGGAUUGAACCAAGGGCCAAGCAAAUGCUCUACCAUCGAGCUACAUUCCAGCUCUUCUUCUUAUUUUGAGACAAGGUCUUGUGUAAUUGCACAGGCUUGCCCUGUUCUUGCAAUUCUCCUGCCUCAGCCUCCCAAGCAGCUGGGACUAUAGUCACAUACCCCCAGGUCCUGUUUCCAUUAGGAGCCUUUUAUGCAUCAUGAACUACAUUUGACAGAGAAGGAAACAGUCCCAGAGAAGUUAAAUAAUAUUCCUAAAGUCACUCAUGUGAAAGAUCAACCAGUGAACUGGAGUUCAAGUCCCUGUGGCACUGUUUUGUAUUGUGCCACCUUAACUCCUCAGAGCCCCCAUAUCCCUCUGUAAAAUAAGAGAUAAUAUUCAAUUAAUGGGUUUAGGUGCUUUUGGGAUACCCUUACAAACACGACAGAAAAUUUAAGAAUGUAGGGGUCCUCAGAGCUAGGAGAUAAGUUGGUAAAUCCAUAAAUCUGUUUGACUCCCAGUUUGGGGACUUCCUGCCCACAAGGAGUCAAAACUUCUAGGGGCAACCUUGGGGUAGCCCCUACCAUCACCAGCCACAGUUGGGAGAACAAUACUCCUAUAGUGAGACUGAGGCAGGAAGUGAGUCACAGUUCUUCCUCAGGCUAUGAGCAAGAGAACCCCAUUGAGGGGAAAUAGGGACAGGGCUGGCCCCACCUCACAUGGGAGUCCCCCAGUGCCCUUCCUUUGUGUUCUGUGGCCUAGAAGAAAGGUCAGCCGAGAAAGAAAGCACUACAGGCUACCUCAGGUGCCCUAUCCAUCUGGGAGUUGGUCCCAGGCAAGCUGCUGUGGGUUUUUGGAGAAGGAAGGACCAAAAGGCUGCCACUCAGACAGGGGCUAUGCAGCUUCCCCAUUUCUUCUGCCAGCUUGUUCUUCCAAUCAUGCCUUUGGCAUAAAGAUAGAAUUCAUUAAACUAUGUUGCUCAAAGAUGCAUCAUUAGGGGGCGGGAAGAGGAGGUAUUGAGCAGGUAAGCACCUGCCCUGCUUCACCCAAAGCCUGUCCACUCUGGUCCUUCUCACAUUCUGGGGUUUCCCAGAAGAUUGUAUUUUGCAACAAUUCUGCCUAGAAAAGAUUUGGAAGCCACUCUCUGAGAUACCUCUGGAGAGAAUCAGCUGCCCCAGCUGAGAACUUAUGCCUUUAUCUCUUUGAAACAAAUCCUGUGGGCAGGUAUUGUUCUCUUUAUAUCUCCCAGCUGAUUGAUCUGAGGCCCCAGGGCCUAAGAAGCUAAGCUGUCUCUAAAGCUCAGGACUUGUGACUUGGGGCUUUAGGAGCCCAAGGUCCUCUUUGGUGAGGCAUUAUAAGUUUUAUACUACAGUUAGUAGUUAGAUAGGAAAAGCAGGGUCUGCCUAAUAGGGAAAUCCUGGGGUCCAGGGGAGGCUGGAAAAGGGUUCCCACUUUCCAGGCAGGGAUCUGGGAGUAAGGGUCCAGCAGCCAGACCUCUCUUUAUCCUUGAAUUUGCAGCUAAUGCAUGAAACUCCUUAGUAACUAUAGGGUAAUCACAGUUCUAAAUUCCCCAGUUCCAUUGUCCCCUUGCAGUGCUCUGGGAGUCCCUAUUUCUCAAACAAACUACUUCCCUGCCUCAUACACCUCAAAUAAAGCCUUCAGCAGCAGCACCCAUGCCUGAUUUUAAUCAAAAUGUACACAUCAUCCAUGUUUGUAUAGAAGGGUACACAACAAAAUUUAACUGGUGCAUCUUCUGAAAGGGUGAGACCUUUCUUUCUUCUUUUUUGCUUACCUGCAUUUUCAGGAGUGUGUACAAUAGCUCUUCUAACGUUAUGGUGAAAGCUUCAAGUUAGGCAGAAUUGAAUAAAGCAUGCCCACGCUUCACCAUCUAGCUCCAGAACACCUGGGAUCCAUCUUAUUGCUGCUGCUUCCCCUGUUGGCUGCUGGUGCCACAGUCAAGCUCUUCUGUCACAAGGCAUAGCCCUUCCAGUUCUGGCUAAACCACUUUGGGAAAACCUCCUUUAUAUGACAGGCAAACAGGGUGCCUGUGAUUGAGAGGGAGGAGCUGGAGACUAGAAGUGAGUUGGUGGUGAAAUAUCUGGUCAUGCUGGGACUGGAUCCCAACAUGGCCAGCCCUUCUCAUUUUCUCAUUUAUUGGGGUGGGUCUACAUUUACCUUUCACCAUCUGGCUCUACCACAUCCUAGACACUCAUUGAUUUAAUGGCUUCCUUUGGCCAACUCUAUGUCUUCUGCCUUGUUUUCAAUAUCCAGCCAGUGCUACCCACAAUCAAUCACCUAAUAACUGCUUUGGGCACAGUCUCUUCAGUCAGAUAGAAAUUCAUUCAACACCAGCUGAAUGUUGGAUCUUGGUAUCUCAGAACUAAUCCCUUAGGGCUUGUCCUCAGGAAUCCAGAGGCUGCCUCUGGUAGAAUUGAAAGGAGGUAUGAGACUCACCUGAAUCUUCCUGAAUCUGGGAACUCCAUGACCUUGAGUUUCAACAAACCUGCUGCCCUUCCUUAGCCCAUUUGAUCCAGAAAUGUAUGCAAUGAUUGUAGAUUCUUAUUGAGUUUUCCAAUUGGUUUGUCAGCUGGAAUAGGGUUUCUCAAUCUCAACUCUUGAUGUCUUGAGUUGUGGGGACUGUCCAUGCAUUGUAGGAUGUUCAGCCACCUCCCUGGUCUCCAAACACUAAAUGCCAGUAGCACCCCCAUUCCUAUUACAUCCCAAAAGCUUCCCAGACAUGCCAAAUCACUUCCAAUGACGAAAUCACUCCCAAUUAAAAACUGCUCGUUCAUAUUGGGGAAUAGGAAUGUCACAGGUUGGCAGUUAAUGUGUCAGGAUUGGAGGCAGUAGAGUUGUGGGCUGGGAAUUGUGCACCAAGACAGCUCCCAAGCCCCAAACUGCCUAAUAUGGCAGUAUGACAAACGGGGCCACUUAGUGUUCAGGACAAAAAAUCGUAUGCAUCUUCCUGACAUCUGAGGACAUCAUUUUCACAAUGUUGAUGAUAAUGCAGAAUCAAUGAUGUGUGCACCUACAGUCCCAACACUCGGAAAACUGAAGUAGGAGAGUCUCAAGAGUCACGGUCUGCUUGCACAACAGACAGAGAUCCCUGUCUUAAGGAAAACAAAAACAACAAACAAAAAAGACAGAAUGCAAAGCGCAGUGGUGGUGCCUGUAAUCACAGCUACUCGGGAGGCUGAGGGAGGAGGAUCGAAAGUUCCUGGUUAGCUGAGCAACUUAGAAUUUAUCUCAAAAUAAAAAGGACUGGGGAUGUAACUCAGUGACGGAGCACUUGCUUAGCACCUGAGAGACCAUGGGUUCAAUCCCCAGUACUGCAAAUAAAUAAAAGAACAAAAUAAAAAAGGGUACUCUGUUUGCAAAGGUGAGGAAGUGGGUGAGACAUGUUAGCAUUGACUAUAUUCAGAGAGUAGAUCCAUGGCUGCUUGGGAAAGGGGGAUAGGGAGGAGUGAGAGGAAAUUUGGGAUGAUGGAUAUGAUCAUUAUCUUGACUGUGGUGAUGGUUUCAUGGGUGUGUACUUACGUCAAAACAUAUCAAGUUGUAUACUUUAAAUGUGUACAGUUUAUAGUGUGUCAAUUAAAACUCAAUAAAACUUUUUUAAACGUGU
rnacentral:lncRNA from 1 species